rnacentral:rRNA from 1 species
UACGUAGGUGGCAAGCGUUAUCCGGAUUUAUUGGGUGUAAAGGGCGUGUAAGCGGGAAUGCAAGUCAGAUGUGAAAACUCAGGGCUCAACCCUGAGCCUGCAUUUGAAACUGUAUUUCUUGAGUGCUGGAGAGGCAAUCGGAAUUCCGUGUGUAGCGGUGAAAUGCGUAGAUAUACGGAGGAACACCAGUGGCGAAGGCGGAUUGCUGGACAGUAACUGACGCUGAGGCGCGAAAGCGUGGGGAGCAAACAGG